rnacentral:rRNA from 1 species
GAUGAACGCUGGCGGCGUGCUUAACACAUGCAAGUCGAACGGAAAGGCCCAAGCUUGCUUGGGUACUCGAGUGGCGAACGGGUGAGUAACACGUGGGUGAUCUGCCCUGCACUUCGGGAUAAGCCUGGGAAACUGGGUCUAAUACCGGAUAGGACGAUGGUUUGGAUGCCAUUGUGGAAAGUUUUUUCGGUGUGGGAUGAGCUCGCGGCCUAUCAGCUUGUUGGUGGGGUAAUGGCCUACCAAGGCGUCGACGGGUAGCCGGCCUGAGAGGGUGUACGGCCACAUUGGGACUGAGAGACGGCCCAGACUCCGACGGGAGGCAGCAGUGGGGAAUAUUGCACAAUGGGCGCAAGCCUGAUGCAGCGACGCCGCGUGGGGGAUGACGGCCUUCGGGUUGUAAACUCCUUUCGCUAGGGACGAAGCGUUUUUGUGACGGUACCUGGAGAGGAAGCACCGGCUAACUACGUG